rnacentral:rRNA from 1 species
AGCUCCAGUAGCGUAUAUUAAAAUUGUUGCAGUUAAAACGCUCGUAGUCGAACUUAGUCUCUGUGUCUCUACUCACCCUUUCGAGUGUGUCUAGAGACUAGAGAUAGUGUUACCUUGAAGAAAAGAGAGUGUUCAAAGCAGACGAUGUGUUUGAAUACGUUAGCAUGGAAUAACAAAGUGAGAUAUUAGAUAUUUCUUUUGUUGGUUUUGAUAUUUAAUGAGGAUGAAUAGGGACAGUUGGGGGUAGUAGGAUUCAUGAGCUAGAGGUGAAAUUCGAAGAUUUCAUGAGGACUAACAAGGGCGAAGGCAUCUACCAAGGAUGUUUUCA